GGCGUAAGGAAUGUAGCUUGGGUAUUCAUAUUAAGAGGUCGGUCAGUCUGGGGUCCCAUUGCUAUGGGCACGACUGCCGCGCGCCCCGGCAAAAACUUACGAGUGGCAUCCUAUUAGUUGGACCCUGUGAAAGGUCUCGUAGUGAAACCCUGCCUGCUCACCUUGGUAGUGUUUUGGGGAGUCGCGACCCCGGGCAAAUGGGAAUCACGACUUGGAGUGAACGUGCACACCUCUGCAGAGUGUAAAACUGAUAUAUCAGCCGUGCUCACGGUCACGAGCGGCCCAGACCCUCACUUGAUGAGCAAAUUGGAUUCACUGGAUACUUGGAGAUGGAACUGGGCGAGGUUGCUACCUCGUGUUUUGGCGGAAUGGCUAUUCCGUGUUGGCAGGAUUGCUAUCCUGUGUUAAUAAUUGGGGUUAAUCCCUGGAUUACUAUAAUAAUUAGGAUAGUCUUUUAAAAGAUGCUAAUUACUACUUACACUAAUUAAGGGUUGGGUUUAUGCUACUCAUAUUUAGUAAUAGGUUGUUCUAGUAAUUGUUAUAAUUAAAAGUGAUCAACUAAAAUGCUACCGCAGUCAAACCAAGUCAGCUUUACCUUGUUUUAAGCCUUGCAUGUCAUUACUUUCUGUCUGUGCUUGCUGAGUUCGACAUGAGCUCACCCUUGCUAUAAUCAUUAAAGGUUGCUCGGACGAUCAAGAGUACAAUUGCAAUUUCCCUGAGGACUACCCUGAGUCUCCUGGUUGUUAGGCUCGUGUGGUUCUACCGUCGACCUUCCUGUGGCAAGGUGGUCCUGCUACGUCGGCGUUUAGUUUUCCCUUUAUUUAUGGAACAGUUUAGUUUAUGUUUCCCCUCCGCACUUUGAUAAACAUUUGGCUUGUAAUAAUGGUACUUUUACUCUCAUUUAUGUAAUUCGUUUGAACACUGUGUUUUGUACCAUUGAUGAUGUCGGUCCAUGUGUGUGAAUUUGAGAUCCUGGCGCACAUGUGAUUUGGCACCCGAAUGCUCUUUUACAUUCGGGUGUGACACAUGUGCUUAUGACGUAAUUGCUUCUAGUUGCAUUAAGAGGAAUUCUACCUCCACAUAUACGUCUGGCCACCGUAAAGCUAUGUGCAUUCCUCAAUGCAGUUUCUCAGAAGGCAAUCAAUCCACUGGAACUAGCUGCUCUACAGAAUGAUGUGGUUCAAUGUCUUGUCAGCUUUGAGUUAGUGUUCCCUCCAUCCUUCUUUAAUAUCAUGGCACACCUCCUAGUUCAUCUGGUCAAUGAGAUCAAUAUUCUGGGUCCUGUGUUCCUACAUAAUAUGUUUCCCUUCGAGAGGUUUAUGGGAGUUCUGAAGAAAUAUGUUCACCAACGUGCUCGACCAGAAGGAAGCAUCGCAGAGGGCUAUGGGAUAGAGGAGGUCAUUGAGUUCUGUGUUAAAUUCAUUCCUGAACUUGACCCAAUUGGUGUUCCUGAAUCGCGACACGAGGGGAGACUGAGUGGAAAGGGAACACUAGGAAAGAAAACAUACAUCGGUAUGGGGACGAUUAUUUCAAUAAAGCACACUACACAGUUCUUCAAAACUCAUCCAUGGUGGAGCCGUAUGUCACGAAACACAAGGACUUUCUACGAUCCCAAUUCCCAGAGAGGAAUGAAGCUUGGUUUAUGCAUCAGCACAAGGACACUUUCAGUGAUUGGUUACGAAAAGAAUGUCAGGGUAAUGACCAGAUUGAUGAGCAACUGUAUUUGUUGGCUAGGCAACCAUCAUGGCACAUCCUCACAUACAAAGGGUACGAGAUAAAUGGAAAUACAUUUUACACUCUAGGCCAAGAUAAAAGAAACACGAACCAAAAUAGUGGAUUUUGCGUAGACGCCAUAGACCCGAAUGGAAACAGACAAACAUAUUAUGGCUGUAUAGAGGAGGUUUGGGAACUAGACUACACACCUAAUUUUAAAGUCCCUUUGUUCCGGUGCCAAUGGGUGAAGGUUACCGGAGGCGGGGUGACAGUUGACAAAGACUAUGGAAUGACAACAGUGGACCUCAACAAUGUUGGUUACAAAGAUGAACCAUUCGUCCUUGCUGCUGAUGUGAAUCAGGUGUUCUAUAUGAAAGACAUGUCUACAAAACAGAAAGAGGGAAAAAUGACAAAAAAUCAACAAAUGAGCCAAAACGCCAUAUAGUUCUCUCAGGGAAAAGAAACAUUGUGGGAAAGUCAGAUAUUUCAGAAGAUUAUGAAAGGGAUGACCAAAUCACGACUUUCAAUGUGAUCAAAGAUCCGAGCAUACUGAUAAAUGCUGAGGACACUCCAUGGUUACGUCAAGAUCAUGACCAAGGAACAUACGUCAAAAAGAAGAUCACUAUUGUGCCCGCCUAAUAAAUAGAUUGCAUUAGAGUAUGUGUAUGUGACAAUUGUAACUUAAGAUGUUUAUAUUAGUUUUUCUUAUUUUAUAUCAUUUCAAAUAAUGAAAUGACUUGUGGGAAAUGACAUUUAAGUUUGCUAUUAUAAGAGAUGUGUCAAUUGUGGAUUUUCAGCUACACCUUCCCAACACUUUGUCAAAUGCAAAAAUAGUCAAACUUGGUCAAAUGACAAACUAAAUUACUUAAAAUGAAAAAAAUUUGAAUACCAAGUUGUUAGAUAUCAUCAAGAUCUAAACUUUUUAUAUAGACAAUUUUUCUAUUUGAGAAAGUUUAAGUUCACAAUACUCACCAAAUCUUGAAUCUCACACAAACUAUAUGAAACUAUAUGUGUCAAUUGUGGAUUUUCAACUACACCAUCCAAACACUUUGUCAAAUGCAAAAAUGGUCUAUAUAUUAAAUGUAGAUUUUGAUGAGUGGAACAAUAUUGGUAUUCAUGACUUUUCCAUUUGAGACCAUCUAGGGUUCCGAAAACCGAUGCGUGGCUAUGAAUUCUUUCAAAAUUCAAAAUUGAGUGGUUCAAACUUUUCCAAAAGAAAAGUUGACCAUUAGACCAAAUGUAGAACUUGAUGAGUGCAACAAACUUUGUAUUCAUUACUUUUCCAUUUGGGACCAUAUAUGGUUCGGUCAAAGUGUGUGUUUCUAAAAACCAAUGCUUUGACUUUGGUCAAACUUGGUUAAAUGACCCAUUUGAUGACUUGAAAUGAAAAAAAAUUGAAUACAAAGUUGGUAGAGAUCAUCAAGAUCUACAUUUGAUAUAUUGUCCAUUUUUCCAUUUGGAUAAAUUUGAGCCAAUCCUAAGCACAUUUGUUCAAAAUCCAAGGCGGGUUUUGGUCAAACUUGGUCAAAUGACAAACUAAAUUACUUAAAAUGAAAAAAUUUCGAAUACCAAGUUGUUAGAUAUCAUCAAGAUCUAAACUUUAGAUAUAGACAAUUUUUCCAUUUGAGAAAGUUUAAGUUGACAAUACCCACCAAUUCUUGAAUCUCACACAAACUAUAUGAAACUAUAUGUGUCAAUUGUGGAUUUUCAACUACACCUUCCCAACACUUUGUCAAAUGCAAAAAUAGUCUAUAUAUUAAAUGUGGAUUUUGAAGAGUGGAACAAUAUUGGUAUUCAUGACUUUUCCAGUCGAGACCAUCUAGGGUUCCGAAAACCGAUGCGUGGCUAUGAAUUCUUUCAAAAUUCAAAAUUGAGUGGUUCAAACUUUUCCAAAAGAAAAGUUGACCAUUAGACCAAAUGUAGAACUUGAUGAGUGCAACAAACUUUGUAUUCAUUACUUUUCCAUUUGGGACCAUAUAUGGUUCGGUCAAAGUGUGUGUUUCUAAAAACCAAUGCUUUGACUUUGGUCAAACUUGGUUAAAUGACCCAUUUGAUGACUUGAAAUGAAAAAAAAUUGAAUACAAAGUUGGUAGAGAUCAUCAAGAUCUACAUUUGAUAUAUUGUCCAUUUUUCCAUUUGGAUAAAUUUGAGCCAAUCCUAAGCACAUUUGUUCAAAAUCCAAGGCGGGUUUUGGUCAAACUUGGUCAAAUGACAAACUAAAUUACUUAAAAUGAAAAAAUUUCGAAUACCAAGUUGUUAGAUAUCAUCAAGAUCUAAACUUUAGAUAUAGACAAUUUUUCCAUUUGAGAAAGGUUAAGUUGACAAUACCCACCAAUUCUUGAAUCUCACACAAACUAUAUGAAACUAUAUGUGUGAAUUGUAGAUUUUCAACAACAGCUUUCCAACACUUUGUCAAAUGCAAAAAUGGUCUAUAUAUUAAAUGUAGAUUUUGAUGAGUGGAACAAUAUUGGUAUUCAUGACUUUUCCAUUCGAGACCAUCUAUGGUUCCGAAAACCGAUGCGUGGCUAUGAAUUCUUUCAAAAUUCAAAAUUGAGUGGUUCAAACUUUUCCAAAAGAAAAGUUGACCAUUAGACCAAAUGUAGAACUUGAUGAGUGCAACAAACUUUGUAUUCAUUACUUUUCCAUUUGGGACCAUAUAGGGUUUCGGUCAAAGUGUGUGUUUCUAAAAACCAAUGCUUUGACUUUGGUCAAACUUGGUCAAAUGACCCAUUUGAUGACUUGAAAUGAAAAAAAUUUAAAUACAAAGUUGGUAGGGAUCAUCAUGAUCUACAUUUGAUAUAUUGUCCAUUUUUCCAUUUGGAUAAAUUUGAGCCAAUCCUAAGCACAUUUGUUCAAAAUCCAAGGCGGGCUUUGUUCAAACUUGGUCAAAUGACAAACUAAAUUACUUAAAAUGAAAACAUUUUGAAUACCAAGUUUUUAGAUAUCAUCAAGAUCUAAACUUUUUAUAUAGACAAUUUUUCCAUUUGAGAAAGUUUAAGUUGACAAUACCCACCAAUUCUUGAAUCUCACACAAACUAUAUGAAACUAUAUGUGUCAAUUGUGGAUUUUCAACUACACCUUCCCAACACUUUGUCAAAUGCAAAAAUGGUCUAUAUAUUAAAUGUAGAUUUUGAUGAGUGGAACAAUAUUUGUAUUCAUGACUUUUCCAUUCGAGACCAUCUAGGGUUCCGAAAACCGAUGCGUGGCUAUGAAUUCUUUCAAAAUUCAAAAUAGAGUGGUUCAAACUUUUCCAAAACAAAAGUUGACCAUUCGACCAAAUGUAGAACUUGAUGAGUGCAACAAACUUUGUAUUCAUUACUUUUCCAUUUGGGACCAUAUAGGGUUCAGUCAAAGUGUGUGUUUCUAAAAAGCAAUGCUUUGACUUUGGUCAAACUUGGUCCAAUGACCCAUUUGAUAACUUGAAAUGAAAAAACUUUGAAUACAAAGUUGUUAGAGAUCAUCAAGAUCUACAUUUGAUAUAUUGUCCAUUUUUCCAUUUGGAUAAAUUUGAGCCAAUCCUAAGCACAUUUGUUCAAAAUCCAAGGCGGGUUUUGGUUAAACUUGGUCAAAUGACAAACUAAAUUACUUAAAAUGAAAAAAUUUUGAAUACCAAGUUGUUAGCUAUCAUCAAGAGCUAAACUUUUUAUAUAGACAAUUUUUCCAUUUGAGAAAGUUUAAGUUGACAAUACCCACCAAUUCUUGAAUCUCACACAAACUAUAUGAAACUAUAUGUGUCAAUUGUGGAUUUUCAACUACACCUUCCCAACACUUUGUCAAAUGCAAAAAUAGUCUAUAUAUUAAAUGUGGAUUUUGAAGAGUGGAACAAUAUUGGUAUUCAUGACUUUUCCAGUCGAGACCAUCUAGGGUUCCGAAAACCGAUGCGUGGCUAUGAAUUCUUUCAAAAUUCAAAAUUGAGUGGUUCAAACUUUUCCAAAAGAAAAGUUGACCAUUAGACCAAAUGUAGAACUUGAUGAGUGCAACAAACUUUGUAUUCAUUACUUUUCCAUUUGGGACCAUAUAUGGUUCGGUCAAAGUGUGUGUUUCUAAAAACCAAUGCUUUGACUUUGGUCAAACUUGGUUAAAUGACCCAUUUGAUGACUUGAAAUGAAAAAAAAAUUGAAUACAAAGUUGGUAGAGAUCAUCAAGAUCUACAUUUGAUAUAUUGUCCAUUACUAUAUGAAACUAUAUGUGUCAAUUGUGGAUUUUCAACUACAGCUUCCCAACACUUUGUCAAAUGCAAAAAUGGUCUAUAUAUUAAAUGUAGAUUUUGAUGAGUGGAACAAUAUUGGUAUUCAUGACUUUUCCAUUUGAGACCAUCUAGGGUUCUGAAAACCGAUGCGUGGCUAUGAAUUCUUUCAAAAUUCAAAAUUGAGUGGUUCAAACUUUUCCAAAACAAAAGUUGACCAUUAGACCAAAUGUAGAACUUGAUGAGUGCAACAAACUUUGUAUUCAUUACUUUUCCAUUUGGGACCAUAUAGGGUUCGGUCAAAGUGUGUGUUUCUAAAAAGCAAUGCUUUGACUUUGGUCAAACUUGGUCAAAUGACCCAUUUGAUGACUUGGAAUGAAAAAAAUUUGAAUACAAAGUUGGUAGAGAUCAUCAAGAUCUACAUUUGAUAUAUUGUCCAUUUUUCCAUUUGGAUAAAUUUGAGCCAAUCCUAAGCACAUUUGUUCAAAAUCCAAGACGGGCUUUGUUCAAACUUGGUCAAAUGACAAACUAAAUUACUUAAAAUGAAAACAUUUUGAAUACCAAGUUGUUAGAUAUCAUCAAGAUCUAAACUUUUUAUAUAGACAAUUUUUCUAUUUGAGAAAGUUUAAGUUGACAAUACCCACCAAUUCUUGAAUCUCACACAAACUAUAUGAAACUAUAUGUGUCAAUUGUGGAUUUUCAACUACACCUUCCCAACACUUUGUCAAAUGCAAAAAUGGUCUAUAUAUUAAAUUUAGAUUUUGAUGAGUGGAACAAUAUUGGUAUUCAUGACUUUUCCAUUCGAGACCAUCUAGGGUUCUGAAAACCGAUGCGUGGCUAUGAAUUCUUUCAAAAUUCAAAAUUGAGUGGUUCAAACUUUUGCAAAAGAAAAGUUUACCAUUAGACCAAAUGUAGAACUUGAUGAGUGCAAGAAACUUUGUAUUCAUUACUUUUCCAUUUGGGACCAUAUAAGGUUCGGUCAAAGUGUGUGUUUCUAAAAAGCAAUGCUUUGACUUUGGUCAAACUUGGUCAAAUGACCCAUUUGAUGACUUGAAAUGAAAAAAAUUUGAAUAGAAAGUUGUUAGAGAUCAUCGAGAUCUACAUUUGAUAUAUUGUCCAUUUUUCCAUUAGGAUAAAUUUGAGCCAAUCCUAAGCACAUUUGUUCAAAAUCCAAGGCGGGUUUUGGUUAAACUUGGUCAAAUGACAAACUAAAUUACUUAAAAUGAAAAAAUUUUGAAUACCAAGUUGUUAGCUAUCAUCAAGAUCUAAACUUUUUAUAUAGACAAUUUUUCCAUUUGAGAAAGUUUAAGUUGACAAUACCCACCAAUUCUUGAAUCUCACACAAACUAUAUGAAACUAUAUGUGUCAAUUGUGGAUUUUCAACUACACCUUCCCAACACUUUGUCAAAUGCAAAAAUAGUCUAUAUAUUAAAUGUAGAUUUUGAAGAGUGGAACAAUAUUGGUAUUCAUGACUUUUCCAUUUGAGACCAUCUAGGGUUCCGAAAACCGAUGCGUGGCUAUGAAUUCUUUCAAAAUUCAAAAUUGAGUGGUUCAAACUUUUCCAAAACAAAAGUUGACCAUUAGACCAAAUGAAGAACUUGAUGAGUGCAACAAACUUUGUAUUCAUUACUUUUUUAUUUGGGACCAUAUAGGGUUCAGUCAAAGUGUGUGUUUCUAAAAAGCAAUGCUUUUACUUUGGUCAAACUUGGUCAAAUGACCCAUUUGAUGACUUGAAAUGAAAAAAAUUUGAAUACAAAGUUGUUAGAGAUAAUCCGAUGUAAUGGUGAAUAUUGUUGUAAGCAUAAAUAAAUAAGAAAUAGAGAAAAAAUUUAAAAAAUAAUCCGAUGUAAUGAUGAAUAUCACGUAUAUCAUGAUUUUGGAGAUAAAUGAUGAUAAAUAAACAAAAUCUACGUUUAAAUAUUGCACAAACAAAUUUUCUAUCAAAAACAUCGACUUUAAGAUAUUAAAAUUAAAUAAUACAUUUUUGCAUUAACAAAAUACUAAUUAUUUUUCAUAUUUAAAUUUGCUAAUAUAAGUGAUGAAAAGAUUUUAUGUUUCCAAAUUUAUUAUGUAAGCAAUUAGACAAAAAGAAAUAGAACUAUUACUUUUUAACAAAUUAAUACAUAUUAUUCUAUUUACUAUACAAUUAACAACAUUAAUCUAAUUAUUGUAUGCAUAAAUAAAUAAAAAACAGAAAAAUACAUUUAGUCCCGGUUCCUCGCUAGAACCGGGACUAAAGGUUGCCUUUAGUCUCGGUUCUAUCCAGGAACCGGGACUAAAGGGUGGACCUUUAGUCCCGGUGCGUAGCACCAACCGGAACUAAAGACCGUUUAGUCCCGGUUGGUGCUACGCACCGAGACUAAAGGUCGCCGUAGCUAUUUAUACGAACAGUCUUCUUCCUCCUCGAUCUUGUUGCCCUAAUUCUUCCUCCGCCGCGCGCCGCUCCUCCCCGUCGUCGCCUCGCCCUCGUCCCCGGCCGAGCGCCGUCGUCUGGAGCCUAGGAGCGUCGCCGCCGCCACCGCAGCCGAAGAGCGCCCCCACCACCACCGCCACCGAGCCGAGGAGCGCCUCCACCACCGCUUCUUCUCCGGCACCGACGCUUCUUUCUCCGGCGACUGUACCGGCACCGAGCGCUUCUUCUCCGGCGACCGUACGCCGCGCGCGUUCCUUCUUCUCCGGCGACCGUACACCGCGCGAGCUUCUUCUCCCUCGGCCGCUAUAGUACGAUGAUGACCUCUCGGCCGGCACACUUGUUGCAUUGUGAUUAUUUUUUUAGAAACUAUAUAUGUUGUUGAGCGCUUUGUAUAUAUAUUGAGAUGAGAUGUAUAAUUUUUAUUUUAUAAUUUACUAGGAAAACAUGCCCGUGCGUUGCAACGGGAGAAAAAAUACUAAUAUGUCCAAGUCUAAUAAACAAGUGGACAUUUUCUUUGUAAGGAAUAGACAAUUAAACAUGGUUUGAGACUUUUUUUAAAUUACUCGUCAUUAUUGCUCACUGAUUUCUAUUUGCAUAUACAAUCUAUGUUCAUAGUAUUCACGUGUAGACAAUCAAGUAAAAUGUGUGAACGAGUCCAUAUAUAUUCAUAGUUAUAUAUACUUUGUAACUUUUAAAUUCUAUUGUAGGAAGACAAUAUUUAACAUAAUUUGUCUUUGUCUUCAUCUAUUCUGUUCUAUGAUAUAAAUAAAUUCUUUUGAAAAUAAUUAUCAUUGUCUUGUUAAACAUGUUAAAUAUUUGCAAAAGUAAAGUUAGGUGAUGCGAACUCAAACAUGAAAUAAGUUGUGCACAGACACUAUAUAAGAAUGAAUUUUAUUGGAUCAUAUAACAACCCCAAAAAGAGUCACUGUUUAUUUGUGCUUCAUGUCAAGGUAAAAGCAAGCGUCUAACUAAAUCGACUGUUAUUAUGUGUUGGUUUGUAUUUUAACCAUCAAUUAAAAAAAUUGAGUUAGCAGGAGCACAAGUAUGAAAUAAAAAUUAUUGUACCCAACUCCCAACAAUAUAUUCCAAGAGUCACCAAAUUUAAUUUUCUAUUUCCAAACUUUAACUAUCCUUUCGCUUUGAACUUCCUAUCGGCUUCGUCUCGAGCACACUUAUAUUUAUCAAUUUUAUUUCGGUUUUUCAUUUGGAAUGAGAUGUUUUGCUACCAGUGUAUUCCGGUGUAUCCGUACCAGAUUUUGUAUUUUAGAUUUAUUUGUAGCCUUUUUUCACUUCGAACUUCCUAUCAGCUUCAUCCGGGCCAUACUUAUCAAUUCUAUUCGAGUAUAGCGUUCGGAAUUAGAUGUUUGCGUACAAUUAUUGUGACGUACCAUUCUGGAUUUAUCAUUUCAUACAUUCAAUAUAUUCUAGCCUUUUUGCUUAUUACAAAUAAAGUCCACAAAAAUUAACCUUUAAUAAAAACCAAAGAAAUUAGUUAGUAGGGAUAGAUAUUGAGAUGAGAUGUAUAAUUUACAUUUUAUAAUUUAUCUUUUGUAUUAUAUAAUUUAUAUGAUAUAAUUUAUCCUAUGUUGUAAUUAGUUUAUGUUAGCCCUUAGUUGUAAUUAGUUUAUUGUUAUAUAUGUAUCAUGUAUAUAAAAGCUUAAUUAGUUUAUGUUAGCCCUUAGUUGUUGUAUCGAAUAUUUUCGAAACUAAACAAGUCUUUAGUUGUUGUAUCGAAUAAUUUAUAGAAUAAAAGCUUUAGUUGUAUCCAAAUAUUAUCUAAGUUUAGCCUAUCCAAAUAAUUUUUGUUGAUCACGUCAAAAACAUUUAACACUUGAUUAAAUUUGCGCAAAUGGCCAAUCCGAAUGACAACAUGGAUGAUGCAAUGAUGGACCUAAUCAACAGCGGUGCCAAUCCAGAUCCCCAAGGCGAAGAUGAUGGGAGUCAGUACUUUGCUGAUUAUGAAGAACUUGUGGGAGACAAUCUUGAUGAGGUCUAUCUACAAUCUAGUAUAUAUGUAUAUAUAUGAAAUUAAAAUAAAUGACAUUUAUACUAAUAUAUUUAUACUUGUUUGUGUAGCCCUCUAAAUCGGCGACAACUUCUGAGAAGAGUAGAAAAGUGCGCGGCCCGAAGAAGCCGUUGGAGGGUCGGUACAUUCUAUCGGAAUUCGAUGAGGGUACAGAACAAGUACUUGGGACUAAUUCUAAAAAAUUUGUUGCGCACUGUGGCUACCUUGUAAGGGACAGGCUCCCGUCAUUGCUCGUGAAUGGAGGCAACGGAAAGAUAACCCUAAUAUUAGUUUUGUCUCAGAUCGUGACAAGGAAUUGAUUUGGCUAGAUAUCCUUUAACAUUUCACACUCGAUACACAGGAUGAAGCUUUGAAGGAGAAGGUUAAAAUCUAGGCUAUACAGAAGAUGGCCAAACAAUUUCAGGCUUGGAAGAAGACAUUAUACAAGACUUUUGUUGCACAAGGCCGGACACCAGAUUUCACCAAUAAGGCCUACGUCAAGUUGAGGCCUUUUUGGGAUGAGUUCGUAGAGUUUAAGAACUCAGAAGAGGGUCAGGCACGGAUGGUCAAGAAUCAGGAAAAUGCUAAACAAAAGCAAUACCACCAUCACUUGGGUUCAGGUGGCUACAAGACUGCUAUUCCUAAGUGGCAAAAGCUGGAACAGGAGAUUCUUGGGAGAGGGAUCAAACCAGAAUCAAUGCACUGGCCUGAGUGCGCCAAGUAUUGGUUCUUCAGUCACGGGGGAACCAUAGACCUAGAGACCGGAAAGAUAGUGUACGGCGAAAAGCUCGAGAGAGUAGGAUAGAGAAUGGCCUAUGCUAGAGGAUUAGUUGAAAGCGGCACCUGGCAGCCAAAUAGAGAAAAGGAUGAGCUAACAUACGCCCUGGAGACUGCUGAACACGGUGGGCGAACAAGAGGCUAUGGGGAGGUAUCGUGGGAGCAUGGCUUCCAUAAAGAUAGACCGACUUAUAGAAGCCGCCAACAAAAGAAGGAAGAGGAAGCAGAGCGGUUGCGUAGGUUGGAGGCAAUGGUGAUGGAGUCACGCGAAGCGGCUCGUGAAGCGAUAGCGCGAGAGAAAGCGCUUGAAGAGAGAAUGAACGAGGAGAUCAAAAGACAAGUGCAGAUUGGAGUAAGUUCUAUACAAGGGCAAACUGCAUCAGAGCCUAGAGUCAACAUUAGCCCCCCCAGUCAGUAGAAAAAUAGUUGCGCUUCCACGGAGAUGCCAAUUAUUCAAGACGACGUGGGGCUACACUUUUCGGUGGAUGACAUCACUGAACCUCUGACAACAUGUGAGCUGCACAUUCCACAGGGGACUGCCACUGUCAUGGUUGCUGUCGCUGUUGUAACUCCUGUCGACCCUUUGAGGACACCAAGAAUCCAUGGGGCAAUAGUUCCACCUGGAUAUGCUAGUGUCUCGGUGGAUAGAUGAAAGGUCCUAAUAUGGCUAGAAGGGGGUGAAUAGCCUAUUUAAAAAAUCUACAAACUCACUAGAGCAAGAGGUUAGUAAAUAACAAAGCGAAGCUUUUUGCUCUAGCUCUAAUAGGGUGUUUGCAAGCCACCUAUCCAACAAUUCUAGUUGAUAUAAUCACUAGGCACACAAGAGCUAUGUCACUACUUACACUAGAAAGCUACCUAAAGUUUCUAUACAAGUAAGCUACUCUAGUUUGCGGGAAUGUAAAAGAGAUGGUUUGAACUUUAUACCGCCGCGUAGAGGGGAUGAACCAAUCAAUAAUAUAAAGUCCAAUCACCGGGAGAAAUCCAAUGAACAAUCACAAUGGAGACACACAAUUUUUCUCCCGAGGUUCACGUGCUUGCCGGCACGCUACGUCCCCGUUGUGUCGACCAACACUUGGUGGUUCGGUGGCUAAGAGGUGUAGCACGAACCUUGUCCUCACUAGGACACCACAAGAACCUACCCACAAGUGAGGUAACUCAAUGACACGAGCAAUCCACUAGAGUUACCUUUCGGCUCUCCGCCGGGGAAGGUACUAGACCCUUUCGGCUCUCCGCCGGGGAAGGUACUAGACCCCUCACCAUCACCGGGAGAUGGCCACGAACAAUCACCAACUCGUGCCAAUGCUCCUCCGCUGCUCCAAGCCGUCUAGAUGGCGGCAACCACCAAGAGUAACAAGAAAACCGCAGCCAAAUCGAUCCCCAAGUGCCACUAGAUGCAAUCACUCAAGCAAAUGCACUUGGAAUCACUCCCAAUCUCACAAAGAUGUUUAAUCGAAGAAGGAGAUGAGUGGGAGGUGUUUGCUUAGGCUCACAAGGAUGUCAAGUAGUCAAGAAUGCCAAGAGAGUGAGCCCUAAGCCGGCCAACAACUAUUUAUAGACCCCUCAAACAAAUAGAGCCGUUGGCUCUCUCACUGGGUCUAACUCGGGGUCACCGGACGCUCAACACCAACGUUCGGUGCUCCAACGUCAGCCGCGUGUCAGAAUCUAACGGUAACCUGUAGUGCACCGGACGCUGAGCAAGUUAGCACUGGACGCGUCCGGUGCACCCCGGACUCAUGCGCGAGAGUUCCGCAAACCUGCGGGUCACCGGACGCUGAGCACCUGUAGCGUCCGGUGCUCACCGGACCCAUGCGCAGAGAGGGUCGCAAAACGCCUGCACACCGGACGCUAACCACCGGACGCACAGGCCUGCGUCCGGUGCCUGUCGUCCGGUGCCUUACCCUAGCUGGGCCAGGCACUGUCUGCACCGAAUGCUUAGACGCAGCGUCCGGUGCUCCAGAAGCCAGCGUCCGGUGAGUGUUUUCUCAGCGAGAAACACUCCCACGACUUCUCCAAAUUUCCCACCGGCGCAAUAGAAAAAAUGCACUUCAUUUUCUCGAAAAGCAAUCCCGUCUCGCAAGCUCGGUGGGAGGGAGAGAGGAACCCAUCCUUUCUCUACCCUUCAAACUUCAACUCCCUUCUCAAAGUGUGCCAACACCACAAAGUGUGUACCAACAAGUGCACGUCUGUUAGCAUUUUCACAAACAUUUUCUUCGAAGGAGUUAAGUUAGCUCACUACGUUCUAAAUGCAUGCACAUGAACAAUGACACCUAGUGGCACUUGAUAACCGCUUAGCCAAAGAAUUCCCCUCUUUAUAGUAUGGCUAUUUAUCCUAAAUGUGAUCACACUCUCUAUGGUGUCUUGAUCACCAAAACCAAAACCCUAAGCAAUACCUUUGCCUUGAUCUCCAUAGGGUUUUGUUUUUCUCUUUCUUCUUUUCCAAGUUGAGCACUUGAUCACCUUGUGGUCAUCACCAUCAUCACCAUGAUCAUCACUUGCUCCAUCACUUGGCAUGUACCAACCUCAUUAAGUCUACACACACUUAGCAUAGAGGUUAGUACUAGGGUUUCAUCAAUUAUCCAAAACCAAACUAGGGCUUUCAAUCUCCCCAUUUUUGGUAAUUGAUGACAACACUUUUUACAAAGAUUUUCAAUAAAAUUUUCUUGGAUUCAUGUUGCUUGCCCAAGCAUUUUACCACGUGCAAAGGUUAUGGACAAGUUUCAUAAACCCAAAUUGGUAGCAAUUGCUCCCCCUACAUAUGUGAUAAGAGUUUGGAUUUGAAAGCUUGCACAUAAGCUUGAAUAGGAAACAUAGGAGUCAAUUUCUACCAAAUGAUGCUAAGGUGUAAAGAAUGGACCUUUGAAGCGUGAUACCAAUCGGAGUUGCCAAUGUAUACCAUCCUUAGCACCAUUAGUAACUAGACAUUCACAAAACUAGAACACCCAAUGAGAUCAACAUUAUAAACAAGGUUCUAGUACCACUUGUGAAACAACUAAAAGUCUAGUUACGCUACCUAUGCAUGCUAGUUCUUCAUUUCAUCAAACAAACUUACAACUAGCAUACACCACACAAGCAAGGCAUUGGAGAGAAAGCUCCUAAAGCUAAUGCAAAUGCAAGCAAACAUAUGUCAUGCACAUUCAAAUGCAACAUAUAAGUUUAUGAGCUUGCUCCCCCUACUUGUGUGCUUCAAAAUUUUAAUUGAUCCCCUUCUUUUAUCAUGUUACUUCCUAUCUUUGUAUUUCCUUUGUAAUUUCUCCCCCUUUGCCAUCAAUGACCACAAAAGGUGAGCUCAAAUUUUAAAUAGGAUAGUGUGAAACUAUGUGAAGUUAAAUUAUUUUCCCAAAUUUGGUCCAAUCUAGAUUACUUGCCUAAGAUAUUUAACUCGGUUUGAUCCAAGGACAAGCUUCUUAACACCUCCAAAUAAGGGUUAUCUUGUACCAUGUUGAGUUAAACACUUAUAGCUCAUAUUCUAGAUCAAACACCAGGAUUGCAAGCCCACAAACAUGUCAUAUGCUACCACUAGAUCAAGUCAAGCAUAAAAGCAAUAGUGGUACUAUACAAGCAUCAAAUUCAUUUGAUUUUCAUGAAUGAUCCUAAGACAUGGGAGGAAUGACUAGAUGCACUAAACCAGUCCUUAGCAUAGGAUGAAUGACAUGUCAAUCAAUGUUACAUUGCUUUGCUCGAAGGAGAGGCAUGUCAUAUAGUGGGGGUGCAUCAACACAUAUUUGAGAAGUCAAGUAUUUUCAAUUCAUUCCUUAGCUUGCAAAACCUUUUCUCAUCAAGUGGCUUGGUGAAUAUGUCGGCAAGUUGAUCAUCGGUGCCUAUACUCUCAAUGCAAAUGUCCCCUUUUUGUUGGUGAUCUCUUAUGAAAUGAUGGCGGACAUCUAUGUGCUUUGUUCUUGAGUGUUGAACCGGAUUGUUGGUGAGCUUCACGGCACUUUCAUUGUCACAUAGCAAUGGCACUUGCUUGAAGUUGAUUCCAAAAUCUUUCAAGGUUGCCUUCAUCCAUAGGAUUUGUGCACAACAACUUCCGGCCGCAAUGUACUCCGCUUCGGCGGUUGAUAGUGCAACACUAUUUUGCUUCUUGGAUGACCAUGAGACAAGUGAUCACCCAAUAGUUGACAUGUGCCCGAUGUGCUUCUUCUCUCAACUUUGCAUCCCGCAUAGUCCGAAUCAGAAUAUCCAACAAGUUCAAACUUUGCACCUUUGGGAUACCACAAACCAACAUUUUGUGUAUGCUUCAAGUACCUCAAUAUUCUCUUUGUUGCUUUCAAAUGACUUUCUCUUGGCGAGGCUUGGAAUCUUGCAUACAUACAUGCACUAAACAUGACAUCCGGUCUUGAUGCGGUCACAUAGAGUAGGCUUCCAAUCAUAGACCGAUACAACUUUUGAUCCACCAUAUUUCCACUUGUAUCACUAUCUAGGCUUCCAUUUGUUCCCAUUGGAGUGCUAAUUGACUUUGCAUCAUCCAUUCCAAACUUCUUGAGUAUGUCUUUUAUGUACUUGCCUUGACUCACAAAUAUGCCAUUCUUCAAUUGCUUGAUUUUAAGACCAAGGAAGUAACUAAGCUCUCCAAUCAUUGACAUCUCAAACUCAUUAGCCAUCAUGUUUCCAAACUCCUCACAAAAUUCUUGGUUGGUUGAUCUAAAUAUGAUAUCAUCAACAUAUAUUUGCAUCACAAACAAGUCUUUGCCAAUCUUCUUGGUGAAGAGAGUGGUGUCAACCUUGCCCAUCUUGAAACCUUUAGAUAGUAAGAAAUCUCUCAAUCUCUCAUAUCAUGCCCUUGGUGCUUGCUUCAAACCAUACAAAGCCUUUCUUAGCUUGUAAACAUGGUUGGGUUUCUUGUCAUCUUCAAAACUGGGUGGUUGCUCAACAUAAACUUCUUCAUUGAUAUAGCCAUUGAGAAAUGCACUCUUCACAUCCAUUUGGUAGAGCUUGAUGUUAUGAGCACAAGCAUAGGCCAACAAGAUCCUAAUUGCUUCCAAUCUUGAACCGGGGCAUAUGUUUCACCAAAGUCAAGACCUUCAACUUGAGUAUAGCCUUGUGCUACCAAUCUUGCUUUGUUCCUUACAACUAUCCCAUCUUGAUCUUGCUUGUUGCAAAAGACCCAUCUAGUACCAAUAACAUUGUGAUCACUAGGCCUCUCAACUAAUUCCCAUACUUGAUUUCUCUUGAAAUUGUUAAGCUCUUCAUGCAUAGCAUUAACCCAAUCAACAUCUCUCAAUGCGUCAUCAAUCUUCUUUGGCUCAAUAUGAGACACAAAGAUGAAAUGCUCACAAAAUGAUGCUAGUCUCGAUCUAGUUCGCACUCCUCUUUGAAUAUCACCAAUGAUAUGAUCCAAUGGAUGAUCUCUUCCAAUGUUUGUUGGUUGGAGUAUUUGCACUUGAUUGCUUGCACUUGGUUGAUCAUGAGAUGAUGUACUAGCUGUUGACGGUCCUUAAGUAUCAAAUUUAACUAUCAAAUAAACAAAGAAAAUGAUCCAAAUGAAAUCAACAUCGAGACUUAGGGUUUUAUCUGACAGAAUUCCACGAGUUUUGGUGUUUGUCUAUUUCUGCAGGGGGUUAUCAGGAAAUAAGGAAGAAAGGCCCACACGUCGGGAUUACAUAGAGAUAUCAACGUGCCGCGCAAUUAUCUUACAUCUAGAAGACUCCAGAAGCCACGGGAAGGAAGCGGAGACCGAACGGAGUCAGGGACAGGGUGCCCGCCCAAGUCCUUAGGGCGCCCGCCCACCUUUUUCGGCCAAUCACGCUCAAUCUCGCGGAUUAUGCUCCACCGACCUAAAGGAUCAAGAAUAACCGUUCAAUCAAUGUCGGUUUGAUCCGACGGCCCAGGUUCACUUGAGGGGACUAUAAAACCAGACCCCUUGGCCCCUGGAGGAGGAACCCCUUGAUCAUUAUUCAUUAUUCAUAGACAGAGCAAAAGCUAGGGUUUAGAGAUGAGAGCUCUCCUCUCUUCUCUAAACUAGAGUAGAUCAAGAUAGUAGCGAGAUGGAGAGCGAAGGAGGAUUAGAGGAGAGGCCGGCCUGUCGGUUCUUCCUCCAGUUGUACUUCGCCAUGAUCAAGCUCUAAUCAAGCUUGCUCAUGGGAUGACUCUGGUAAUCUGCUUCUAAUUCAUUAUGCAAUUACUAAUCAUGUAUGUUCUGGUUCACAACUCUUUUGAGUACUUCUAAUUUAUAGGACCCUAUAGGUUAGAGUUGUAGUAUAGGUGUAAGCGUGGUGCUUAGACCUAGAUUACUUGUGGAUAUCCCCUGACUAGCUGGAUCGUAUGGUAGGCCGCGUAGGUGACAGUUACGUUGGUCCCCUGUAGUCCACCUCUCGUUAGCAGGACGGGUAGGGUUUAUCGGCUUAUGGAUAAGCAUCCUUUGUGGUGUACUCUUAUCAUGUGGUUCGUCCCAGACAUAGACAUACCCCUUUGAAGUAGAGAAACCAUAGUUAUCCUCUCUAUUCUGCUACCAUCGCCCAUAUACUAGAAUUGCUCUAUUCUCUAUUCCCAUAUUAUCACUCACUGUUAUCUUACCUUUAGUAUUGUUCUUAUUCGAUUCUACCAUCUUUCCUAUUCACACCUAUUUACUUAUCUUGGUUAAGUUAGAGCGUAGAUUAGUUCUCCCGUUUUCCUGUGGAUACGAUAAAACCUUUAACCGGGUAAAAGCUUCAACGGUAUCCGUGCGCUUGCGGAUUAUCUGUGUGCGUAUAAAUACUAUAGUACACUCUAGUGCCAUGCUGGGGAUGACAACCUAGUAUUCAAGUGGUGUUAGCAAGUGUCAACAAGCAUUUUUGGCGCCGUUGCCGGGGAUCGAACGGUUGCUGAGUUGACUACGAACUAGUUUAAUCAUUUUAUAAAAAAUAAAUAAAAAAAAAUAUUUUCCUUUUAUCCUUUGCCUCAUCUCUGCUAUUCUUUCUUCUUAUAUAAUCCUUGAUCUCUGGUCUAUUAUGAAUUCAAACAUGUCUAUCUAUGAAUUUCAUAGACCUAUGGGCACACAUCUCGAACCACCAAAAUCUUCAAAGCCUAUCAUAGCAUCUAGUUUUGAGAUAGACCCCGAAUACAUAGAAUUUAUUCAAAAACAACCUUUCUCAGGAAAAGGUGAGGAAAACCCAUACACACACCUAAGAGAGUUUUAUCGAGUCUGUGACCUCCUUCGCAUAGAAGGCAUGUCCGAUGAGACCCUUAAAUGGAAGCUCUUUCCGUUCUCUUUAACGGGAAAAGCUAGACAUUGGUAUAAACUCAAAGUAGGGAGUGUUCAUGGAGAUUGGAAGGAGUUAUAUAGUAGUUUUCUUUCUAAAUAUUUUCCAAUCUCCAAAGUGGUGGAACUUCGGCGUGAGAUUCUUUCUUUUAGACAACUGGAAGAAGAAUCUCUUGGCAAAUCAUGGGACCGCUUUAUUAACCUUACUCUCACUGGCCCAAAACUUUCUAUUCCAGAAGAAGUUCUUCUACUUCACUUUUUUGAGGGCCUUAGUAGGAAAAAUAAGCAAACCCUUCAUGCGGCCUCUGGAGGAUCUUUCCACCACCUAUCCGCUAGUGAAGCUUGGAAUUUGAUUGAUUUAAUGAGCGGAAAGUCUCCUAGCUUUUAUAUCCCUGAGAAAGAGAAAGAACCAGUUCCUAGACAAGAAGAAGAAGUUUCGAUAGCCAGAUCACAACCACUUCAAUCCCAAACUUUAGCUAUCGAUCCUAAACCAUCAAUACCCCAAAAUUCUCCAAGGGAGGAAGGAAUUCCGACCUUAAAUCUUUUAGAUGCUGAUGGUUUACUCUUCUGGUUCUAUAAGAGACCUUCAAGCAGGGAUAAUUCAAAUCAUUGCAAUAAUGUUUCUCUUAGAGAAUGUCCUGGUUCCUAUCAUGAAGAAGUCGAGGAUGACAUAUCAAGUGAAGGAGAGCUAAGCCAUAUAGACAAUUCUAUCUACUCCCCUUCCAUGUUCACAAGUUCUAAAUCCAUCCUUGACCUUAGAGAUCCCUCUUAUCCCUCUUCUUUUCAGUCUCAUGAUGAUCCUAGAAAUUCACCAAGACGACCAAACCAUAGGAGUCAUGAAGACCAUAAGGAUGGCAUGUCAAGUAAUGCCAUAGAAGGAGAGCUAAGCCAUAUAGAAAAUUCUAACACCUCCCCUAUUUUGAUCACAAGUUCUAAAUGGCUAGAAUGUGUAGAAUGGAUGGAUAAGGAAGAAGCCUUAAUGGGUUCUGACUUUGGCUCAAUUUCAAAUGGUGAGUUCUUGACUCCCUUUGAAGAUGAGAUUCAUCCAACUACAGAAGAGGACAUAGGUGAGACCAAUCCAGGAGAAACUCCGAACAUUCAGAUUAGAGACGAAGAUAACAUUAAUGAGCAUGGAAUUUAUUUCAUAGCCACUUCGUUUACUCCAUGCUCAUAUGCAACAUCUUCCCAAUCUAUUGGUCUCUCCGACAUCACCACACUUGAGAUCUCCAACCCCCUCUUCCUUUCUAUUUAUAAAAACUUUAAAAGGGCAGUUGUCGAUGCAUAUGUCUAUAAUAAAUAUUGCAGAUCUCGUUGAGUUGAUCUAGAUAUAGGUUGGCGUCGGAGGGGAAACCACUUCGCCAACAUAAACUGAUGGUUUCCCAAGGACAAGCUUAGUGUCUUAAAAUAAGCAUUGAUCAGAUCAUAACAUGAGCCUUUAAUUAUUUGCAACAUUACCUUGUGUAUUGAGCAUAUAAGGAUAAUUGUAAAAAAAAUAUAUUCCUUCGGGUAUUCUUGUCACUAACCUUUCUAAGAUUGGAGCAAGAAGAUCGGAUGAAUGACAAGCACAAGGUAUGUCCAACAAAUCAUCAUACAACAUUGAAUUAAAUUCAUCCAAACUUGAAUUUUGCAAAAUUCAAGCUUGGGGGAGUACUUUACAUAAAAACAUCCUUUGCCAUGUUGCUAUGCUGGUUGUCCCUACCUUUGAGACAUGCUCAAUUUGUUAAAUACUAAUCACACUACUUCAUCUCCACUUGAGUAGAUCUCUAUAAACGCUGUCAUGCUACCUUUGUCUAUUUACUAGCAAGUGUUGGUUUGGAAGUACUCGCCAUACUUCCAUUGGCAUUUAAAUUAAGCAUGGUGCUUAGGUUAAAUAGCCUUCCUUAAUCUGAUUAGACAUGGAGUCUAGUUUGGUUAUUGAACUAAAAAAACUGCUUGAGUAGAUAUUGGUAUAUUUUGUCGGACUAACCCCUACAGAAAAACUUUCAAUAUCGAUUUGGGAAGUCCUGAGAUAAACUCACAUCAGAGACGAAGAGAGUGACACAUGAAGUUUAACAAUUUGCACAAGAAGGACAUAGCUCAUUCAUCAUAGAGAGAUGAUCCAUGGAGGGUGCCACAAACACGACGCACAACCGCUAAGAAAGGAAAGCUUCCACAAGAUGAUAUUGUACCAUCACUCUUCGAGCAAGGUUACAUCUUAAGGUACUUGACUAUCACUUUUAUAAGCUUCUCCUUGGUUCUAGCGUUUAUAUAAAUAAAAGAGACAAACGUGUAUGAUUUACAACUCUAGAUUAACCAACCCAACUGAUUCAACAUGUUUAGUCAUUUAAUCCUUGUUCUUAGUACUACCUCCAUGAUCCCACACUCCUAAUCAUAUGAGCUAAAAUGUUACACAUUCAAUCAUUGAGAGAUAUAAAGAAAAAGACAUAUACAUAGAUAGAUUAUCUUUCCAUAAGGUUGAGCGAUCUGAUCUGACAAAUGUCACUCAUGAACUUAUCAUCCAUCAACUUGUCUUGCUCACUAUGCUUAAGGUUAGAGAAGAACAAAUACACUUUUGGUUCUGUUGGUGUUUUCCACCAACAGGGCCCAUGCACUUGAUCUCUGCCUUAUCUCUAUGAGCAGGUACACUACGAGCACAAACACACUGAGCAAGAUACUGCUAACACCGCACUUCGAACUGCUGGGCAAACGAAGAACAUGGGUGACACCGUAUUAAAAGGUGCAGACGUCAAGGUCCGCACCUGAAUCAAAUGACGCACCUGAAGAAUGAACACGGUGAGAAGUCUUAUUCAGAAGACUUAAAACAUUGAAUCCUCGCCGAAAGAUAAAAUCGGUAGUUACCCAUAUUUAUCCUUUCUACAUUCCCUUUUCCCUUUAAUUACUUACUUUCCUUAAAUAGAUUAUUAGUUAAUCAUGCUAUCUUGAAAAGAAAAAUAAAAAUGUUAAAAAAUACUAAGCCCCAUGUGAGUAUACGAGUGGCAUAAAACCCAUAAGUACCUUCACUAUGGUGGCAUAAAAAUAAAAUAAAUAUUUAUUUUCUACUUUAUAAAAUAAAAAUAUAAAAACAGGGAGUAAUAUUUAUUGAGGAAGCUCAACGUGAUGAAGGCUAGAUAUUUAUGCUAACACGUAAUUAGUUCCACAAGCUUUGUUGUCUAUUUGAGCUCCACAGAAUUUAAGAAUCAAAAAGACUAGUAGACGGAGGACAUUCUAAUCGCUGUUAGAAUGCUGCUGACUUUCAAAUACACCUCUGCCACCUGCUAGCUACAUCAAGAGAAAUUACGUCAAAAUUCAGCUUGGGGGAGAGCACCCCCAUUUAUCUCGCUAAGUAUUUCUACCUAUCUUUAUACUUAUAUUAUAUUAGAAUAUUAAAAUACAUAAACUAUGAAAAACCAAAUAAAGAUUUUGUGCUUAUAUAUAUAUCUUUUACUUAGUGUGUUUAAUAAAUAAAUAAAGUGGCUAUGCUAAUCUGAAUCUUAAUAAUAAAACUCUAGCAUGGAUAUGAUGAAUAGUUGCUCUGCCUAAUUUGCAAAUUUGAAGUUCUCUCUCAAGUUUAGACAUAACUGUUAUAAUUUAAAGCUUGCUCUAGAUCUAAACUUGUGGGAUGAAAACUUGAUCUGAAAUCUAAGUUGUUAACGGAUAUGAUAUGGGAAGGUUGAGCUGCUGUUUAUCUAUUCCUAGAGAUGCUAGAAUUCUGGAGAAUUUUAUCUUUGAAAAAUCUUUAAAAUAUUGCAUGAUGAGUUCCUGUAUGAUGAAAGUUUAAAUUCCUACCACAGCCAUAUAUACAUGCUUGCUAGAUUUUGAGCCACACAUUUAUUAUUUACUGCUUAUGAGCAUUGAGUGUGGUCAAGCUGUGUAGACCCUUAGGAGCUUGUCAUGCGGUUAAAUCAAGAUUCACUUGCACGUUCACUCAUAUAUAUGCUACUUCUACUCCGGAAGUACCAUCCACAUAUAUCCAUCCAUUUCCAUCUCCAGAAUCACCUAAAAAUAUUCUACUCCUAAUUCGGGAGAGAAUAGCCAAAAACAUCUGUGUUUUUCCCUUGUGAAAUAAAUGCUCAAGUUAUCUUGCUACUACCACUUGCUAUAUUAUCUUAAGAGAUGAGUGCUCUGAAAAAAAAGAAGAAAAUAAAAAGAGAAAAGAAAAAAAAUAAACGAGGAAAUAAAAAGGGGCAAGUGCCCGGAACCUCGAAAGAAAAGAAAAAGAGUGAGACGAGAGGUAAAAAUGGACAAGUGUCCGACAGUAGAAUUAGGCGUACAGGAUACCCAUCCGAGAGAAAAGAAAAAGAAGAGCAUCUCAUUCUCCUCAUAAAGUUUCAAAAAGCAAGGAAGGUAUGUAUCCCCUCAAAAGAGCAAAAGUAGAAUUAGACUUUCACCAUUGUUAUCACCAUCAUCACCAUACACUAUUCAUUCGCCACACAUGCACAUCUUGAUUUGGCUUAUUGAUUUGUUUCUUUGGAUCCAUGGUUUGACUAUACAAUAAAUGUCUUGUAAGUAUGUAUAUUUUAUCUCCCACCAUUGUAAGUAAGUCUAUCCUUGCUCAGGGACGAGCAAGAGGUAAGCUUGGGGGAGUUUGUUGACGGUCCUUAAGUAUCAAAUUUAACUAUCAAAUAAACAAAGAAAAGGAUCCAAAUGAAAUCAACAUCGAGACUUAGGGUUUUAUCUGACAGAAUUCCACGAGUUUUGGUGUUUGUCUAUUUCUGCAGGGGGUUAUCAGGAAAUAAGGAAGAAAGGCCCACACGUCGGGAUUACAUAGAGAUAUCAACGUGCCGCGCAAUUAUCUUACAUCUAGAAGACUCCAGAAGCCACGGGAAGGAAGCGGAGACCGAACGGAGUCAGGGACAGGGCGCCCGCCCAAGUCCUUAGGGCGCCCGCCCACCUUCUUCGGCCAAUCACGCUCAAUCUCGCGGAUUAUGCUCCACCGACCUAAAGGAUCAAGAAUAACCGUUCAAUCAAUGUCGGUUUGAUCCGACGGCCCAGGUUCACUUGAGGGGACUAUAAAACCAGACCCCUUGGCCCCUGGAGGAGGAACCCCUUGAUCAUUAUUCAUUAUUCAUAGACAGAGCAAAAGCUAGGGUUUAGAGAUGAGAGCUCUCCUCUCUUCUCUAAACUAGAGUAGAUCUAGAUAGUAGCGAGAUGGAGAGCGAAGGAGGAUUAGAGGAGAGGCCGGACUGUCGGUUCUUCCUCCGGUUGUACUUCAAGUAUAGGUGUAAGCGUGGUGCUUAGACCUGGAUUACUUGUGGAUAUCCCCUGACUAGCUGGAUCGUAUGGUAGGCCGCGUAGGUGACAGUUACGUUGGUCCCCUGUAGUCCACCUCUCGUUAGCAGGACGGGUAGGGUUUAUCGGCCUAUGGAUAAGCAUCCUUUGUGGUGUACUCUUAUCAUGUGGUUCGUCCCAGACAUAGACAUACCCCUUUGAAGUAGAGAAACCAUAGUUAUCCUCUCUAUUCUGCUACCAUCGCCCAUAUACUAGAAUUGCUCUAUUCUCUAUUCCCAUAUUAUCACUCACUGUUAUCUUACCUUUAGUAUUGUUCUUAUUCGAUUCUACCAUCUUUCCUAUUCACACCUAUUUACUUAUCUUGGUUAAGUUAGAGCGUAGAUUAGUUCUCCCGUUUUCCUGUGGAUACGAUAAAACCAAUAACCGGGUAAAAGCUUCAACGGUAUCCGUGCGCUUGCGGAUUAUCUGUGUGCGUAUAAAUACUAUAGUACACUCUAGUGCCAUGCUGGAGAUGACAACCUAGUAUUCAAGUGGUGUUAGCAAGUGUCAACACUAGCUAGUUGAUCUUGCACUUGAGUACCACUUGUACUAGCUUGAUUUUGAUCAUGAGAACCACUAGUUUGCACAUUAGAGGUAGGAAGCACUUGAUCUUUGUCAUCUUCAACAUUAAUCACCUCUCUAGGCCUUAAAUCACCAAUGUCCAUAUUCUUCAUUGCAUCGGCCACUUGAGUGCCUCUCACAUCAUCUAGAUUCUCUUCUUCCUCUUGAGAGCCAUUGGUUUCAUCAAAUUCAACAUCAUGCACC
rnacentral:lncRNA from 1 species